UACGUAGGGCGCAAGCGUUGUCCGGAAUUAUUGGGCGUAAAGAGCUCGUAGGCGGCUUGUCGCGUCGGAUGUGAAAGCCCGGGGCUUAACCCCGGGUCUGCAUUCGAUACGGGCAGGCUGGAGUGUGGUAGGGGAGAUCGGAAUUCCUGGUGUAGCGGUGAAAUGCGCAGAUAUCAGGAGGAACACCGGUGGCGAAGGCGGAUCUCUGGGACGGUACUGACGCUGAGACGCGAAAGCGUGGGGAGCGAACAGG
rnacentral:rRNA from 1 species